UGCCAGCAGCCGCGGUAAUACGAACUGUGCGAACGUUAUUCGGAAUCACUGGGCUUAAAGGGUGCGUAGGCGGCUUUGUAGGUCAGAUGUGAAAGCCCACGGCUCAACCGUGGAAUUGCGUUUGAAACCACAAAGCUUGAGGGAGAUAGAGGAGAGCGGAACUGAUGGUGGAGCGGUGAAAUGCGUUGAUAUCAUCAGGAACACCGGUGGCGAAAGCGGCUCUCUGGAUCUCUUCUGACGCUCAGGCACGAAAGCUAGGGGAGCGAACGGGAUUAGAUA
rnacentral:rRNA from 1 species